AAAGGAAUUGACGGGGGCCCGCACAAGCGGUGGAGCAUGUGGUUUAAUUCGACGCAACGCGAAGAACCUUACCAAGGCUUGACAUGGAGAUGACCGCUAUAGAGAUAUAGUUUCCCUUCGGGGCACCUCACACAGGUGGUGCAUGGUUGUCGUCAGCUCGUGUCGUGAGAUGUUGGGUUAAGUCCCGCAACGAGCGCAACCCUUGCCUUUAGUAGCCAGCGAGUUAUGUCGGGUACACUAGAGGGACUGCCGUGGAGAACACGGAGGAAGGUGGGGACGAUGUCAAAUCAUCAUGCCCCUUAUGUCUUGGGCUACACACGUGCUACAAUGGCGUAUACAAAGUGAUGCAAUGCUGCGAAGUGGAGCAAAACACGAAAAGACGCCUCAGUUCGGAUUGUUCUCUGCAACUCGAGAGCAUGAAGUUGGAAUCGCUAGUAAUCGCGAAUCAGCAUGUCGCGGUGAAUACGUUCCCGGGCCUUGUACACACCGCCCGU
rnacentral:rRNA from 1 species